rnacentral:rRNA from 1 species
GUGGGGAAUCUUCCGCAAUGGACGAAAGUCUGACGGAGCAACGCCGCGUGAGUGAAGAAGGUUUUCGGAUCGUAAAGCUCUUUCGUUAGGGACGAACGUGCUCUUUGUGAAUAAUGAGGAGUAAUGACGGUACCUAAAUAAGAAGCCACGGCUAACUACGUGCCAGCAGCCGCGGUAAUACGUAGGUGGCAAGCGUUGUCCGGAAUUAUUGGGCGUAAAGCGCGCGCAGGCGGGAUAUCAAGUCUGUCUUAAAAGUGCGAGGCUCAACCUCGUGAGGGGACAGAAACUGGUAUUCUUGAGUGUCGGAGAGGAAAGUGGAAUUCCAAGUGUAGCGGUGAAAUGCGUAGAGAUUUGGAAGAACACCAGUGGUGAAGGCGACUUUCUGGACGAUGUCUGACGCUGAGGCGCGAAAGCUAGGGGAGCGAACGGGAUUAGAUACCCGAGUAGUCC